AUUGAACGCUGGCGGCAGGCUUAACACAUGCAAGUCGAGCGGGGGAAGGUGCUUCGGUACUGACCUUAGCGGCGGACGGGUGAGUAAUGCUUAGGAAUCUGCCUAUUAGUGGGGGACAACAUCUCGAAAGGGAUGCUAAUACCGCAUACGUCCUACGGGAGAAAGCAGGGGAUCACUUGUGACCUUGCGCUGAUAGAUGAGCCUAAGUCGGAUUAGCUAGUUGGUGGGGUAAAGGCCUACCAAGGCGACGAUCUGUAGCGGGUCUGAGAGGAUGAUCCGCCACACUGGGACUGAGACACGGCCCAGACUCCUACGGGAGGCAGCAGUGGGGAAUAUUGGACAAUGGGGGGAACCCUGAUCCAGCCAUGCCGCGUGUGUGAAGAAGGCCUUAUGGUUGUAAAGCACUUUAAGCGAGGAGGAGGCUCUUUUGGUUAAUACCCAAGAUGAGUGGACGUUACUCGCAGAAUAAGCACCGGCUAACUCUGCGCCAACCGCCGCAGUAA
rnacentral:rRNA from 1 species